rnacentral:rRNA from 1 species
UACGUAGGCCGCGAGCGUUGUUCGGAGUUACUGGGCGUAAAGAGUGCGUAGGCGGUUUUCUAAGUUUGGUGUGAAAUCUCCCGGCUUAACUGGGAGGGUGCGCCGAAGACUGGAAGGCUUGAGUAUGGGAGAGGUAAGCGGAAUUCCUGGUGUAGCGGUGAAAUGCGUAGAUAUCAGGAGGAACACCUGCGGUGUAGACGGCUUACUGGACCAUAACUGACGCUGAGGCACGAAAGCGUGGGUAGCAAACAGG